GAGAAUGCCGGUGUGAGUAGCGAAAGACGGGUGAGAAUCCCGUCCACCGAUUGACUAAGGUUUCCAGAGGAAGGCUCGUCCGCUCUGGGUUAGUCGGGUCCUAAGCUGAGGCCGACAGGCGUAGGCGAUGGAUAACAGGUUGAUAUUCCUGUACCACCUAUAAUCGUUUUAAUCGAUGGGGGGACGCAGUAGGAUAGGCGAAGCGUGCGAUUGGAUUGCACGUCUAAGCAGUAAGGC
rnacentral:rRNA from 1 species